CAGAUCAAGAGCAUCUCAUCCUCCGGCUGCUGAGUCAUCCUGCUCUGGCAGUUAUUUAAACAGAAGGCUCCAGGAGACAUACAAUCAACACUCCACUCAGACAAUGCCCAGACCUCCAGAAACCAUGUGUCAAGCUCGGAUUGCCUUAGACAGGUGCAAUUUAAGAACAGCUUUCAUCCUCUUUUCUCUCAUAUUGUCACACUAUGUGUUCUGACUUCUGGCUCCUUUCCUCACAAGAAGCUCACCCAGCUGGAACUCUUAUGGGACCUUGGCACCAGAGACCACAAAUUCCUCUUUGAAGUUUUCUAACAGCAACAAUGGUAUUUCUGACUUGGCUUUCUUGUAUUUCUCUCACGUUAACAAAAUUGGUUCAGCAUCUACCAUGGGCUACAUGCUGAGCUACAGAGUUUCGCUCUGUCGCCCAGGCUGGAGUGCAGUGGCGCGCGAUCUCGGUUCACUGCAAGCUCCACCUCCCGGGUUCACGCCAUUCUCCUGCCUCAGCCUCCUGAGUAGCUGGGACUACAGGCGCCCGCCACCACACCCAGGAAUCCAACUUGCUGUUUGCUAUCACAUGUGCUAUACAUGCUGUUGAUGAAACUGCUAAAGGGGCUGAAUGUGACUGACGUCUUUGGAAGGAUGAGACUUAGCGUGCCUGUACAGUUGUGUCCAAAUGCUGUCCUCAUCUCCCAAUGAAAAGGAACAAAACCCAUCAGAAGAUGUCAGAAGAUAAGGAUUUUUGUCCUGAUGCUACACUUACCAGCUGUCCCUCAGUGUUCUACUUCUUAAAAAAAGAGAGGUUGGUCCUGAUCCCUGGUUCUUAACCAGGGGAAAAUGAAGUGGGGCCAGGGCAUGUGCAGACUUAAAAAUUACACAGGGGAAUGUAGGCACGAUCUGUUUAAGAAAUACUGGACUAAAUGGUCUCUAAUCUGUGAUUGUAGAUUAAAGAAUAAUCUACAAUCUACACCGUGUUGGCCAGGCACGGUGGCUCACACCUGUAAUUCCAGCACUUUGGGAGGCUGAGGUGUGUGGAUCACAUGAGGUCAGGAGUUCGAGACCAGCCUCACCAAUGUGGCAAAACCCCCUCUCUACUAAAAAUACGGAAAAUUAGCUGGGUGUGGUGGUGCAUGUCUGUAGUCCCAGCUACUCGGGAGGCUAAGGCAUGAGAAUUGCUUGAACCUGGGAGGUGGAGGUUGCAGUGAGCCAAAAUCACGCCACUGCACUCCAGCCUGGGUGACAGAGUGAGACUCUGUCUCAAAAAAAAAGAAAAAAUAAAUAAUCAAAUGUAAAGUUAGCACAUAAAGGAGGCAUGUACAUAUUAUUAAAAUCUAUAUGACUACCUCUCCUUUUUCAUUUUUGGCUCAAUAUCUGUAUCUGAACACCUAAUUAAUGAAAGGAAAACAUUUGUAAUAUGUAGCAACUAAAAUGUCACCUUCUCUGUGGGGAUCACAAAGUCCUUGGCAAUCACUUCCAUACCAGACAAGUGAGUAUUGUCCUUCUCCUUUUCCAGAUGGAUAAACAGAGGCAACCCGAGGAUAAAGGCCUUGCUCAGUGUCACACAUUUCAGUCACUAAAUAAGACACAAUGGAUGCCAGUAUUCUCAUCCCCUCACAAAUAAAGAGCCUUCAAGCUCUUGCAGUCAACAAGAACUUUUGGAAUGAUUUCACUGCCUGAAAAGGCAGAUACAUAGGUGACACCCACAAAUAGGAAGAAAAUCAACCUGAACCUGAGUGUGUGGGCUCACUGACUCUAAGCAGUAGAGACAGAAGAAAAAGUUUUAGCAAAGAAGGGUUCUGAAAGAAAAUAAAUAUAGCUCGUUAUCAAGUGCUGUUUUUACACAGUAAAACAUGGGCAAAAUUACUCUUCUUUAAGUAGUAAUUCUUAUCUCUUGAUUAAGUCACCUACUCAUUCAUUUAAUAAAUACAUACUGAUUGUUUUCUAUGUGUUGAGCACUCAUCUCUGUAUUGGAAAUAUAAUAAUGACCAAAGUUGACAAUAGUAAUAACAAUAAUAGCUAAUAUAGCAGGCACUAAUAAUUAUUUGUUGAGUAAUAUGUCAAAAUUCAGUGUGAACAGCAUUCUAUUUGGGGCUGCAUCCACUGACUAUAACACAGCUAAUCUAUCUGAAAUGUUCCAGCUUUGGGCCUCUCUAACAGAAGAAGCUGUUGUUGGGCCUGCCUCUAGUUGGCGAUGCAUCCACCAAUGAGAAUGAAUUUAUGAUCGACCACUCUUCCUGUAAAGGCCGCUGGAACUGACAGCAUUGUGAUUUUCUUUUACUGUUAGUUUUAAAUUACUAGAACCAACUCAAUUACUAGAACGAACUUUACUUCUUUGUUUCCUACUUAUCAAAACAGUAAAAACAACAAGUAAAAGAAAUGCCAUCUUAAUAUUGUUUUGAUGACAAAACAGUAUUCCUUUUAGUUGUGCUUCAAAUGGAAUAAGAUGCAAACAGGCUUGGUAUGGUGGCUCACCCCUGUAAUCCCAGCCCUUUGGGAGGCCAAGGUGGAAGGAUUGCUUGAGGCCAUGAGUUUGAGACCAGCCUGCGCAACAUAGCAAGACCGUGUCUCUACAAAAAAUAAAAAAUUAGCUGAGUGUAGUGGUGUGUGCUUGUGGUCCCAGCUACUUUUGAGGCUGAGGAGGGAGAAUCUCUUGAGCCCAGAAGGUCGAAGUUGCAGUGAGCCGUGAUCGUGCCAUUGCUCUCCAGCUUGGACAACAAAGCAAGACCCUAUGUCAAAAAAUAAAUAAAUAAAAGACAUAAACAUAUCUGAGAUUAACUUUCAGUGGUAAAUUUGUUCCAUAUAUGAUUUUUAAGGUUAAAUGCUUUGGAAGCUUUAAAAACCAUUUCAGCCCUUUUAAAUGCCAACUUACACUGAUGAUGCUCUCAGAUGUUAGGAAAUCUUUUGAGCAGAAAAUGGAAGUGGGGGUGUUGAGGCAGGGAGGAGAGUGAUGCAAUAUUCCUUAGUGUCAUCCUGUGAUUUCACAAUUUGUUUUUCAAUCUGUUUGGACUUUCAAAAGGGAAGACUCUCAUAUGUCAACAAGCCCAUGAACUGAAGCUUAAAACACUGGAAACAACAACUGUAGAGUUUCAAGUAUAUGUACAUUUAUGUAUUCAUGUUCCUUGAUGGGAAUGCUGGCUGGUGUGAAUGUUCAAUCUCCUGAGAAAUGUAAAUUUUUCUCUGACAGAUUUAUUAGCUUGCUGUAUCUGAGCACAUGAGCAAAAACAAUGCCUAAUAAGAAAACUUUCUCUCUCCUUCAAAGUCAAACUUGGGAGAAAUGAAGGGAAAUCGAGUUUUCUUUGCUUGACAGUGUUCAACAUUCUUGUAGUCAGUGUGCUCAUGAAGAUUGCAAACUUUUUUUUUUUUUUAGAGCAGCUAGGACUACAGGCGCGCACCACCACACCCAGCUAAUUUGUGUAUUUUUAGUAGAGAUGGGGUUUUAACUAUGUUGGCCAAGCUUGUCUCAAACUCCUGACCUCAAGUGAUCCAUUCGACAGCUCUUUCUUUUUUUUUUUUUUUUUUGAGACAAAGUCUCGCUCUGUCACCCAGGCUGGAGUGCAGUGGUAUGAUCUCAGCUCACUGCAACCUCCGCCUCCUGGGUUCAAGCAAUUCUCAUGCCUUAGCCUCCCGAAU
rnacentral:lncRNA from 1 species